rnacentral:lncRNA from 1 species
CGUCUCCCAUGCAGCCCAAAAGUCCAGUCUCACUCCCACCAUGUCCCCGCAAACAGCACUGAAUUUAUUUCCAGGCAACCAGUGAGCAAGGCUGAGAACUUGUCCCAGGUUACGAGACUCCCAGGGGUGAGACAAAAUGUGCCAUGAGUGAUGGCCUUUGGUGAUCUACAGACAUCCCUGGCUCUAGCAAUCAUUUGUGUAGGGAGGUACAGUCAUGUGCCGCAUAAUGACAUUCAGUCAAUGACAGACUGCAUAUAUGAGGUGGUCCUGUAAGGUGAUAAUGGAGCUGAAAAAUUCCUACUACUGAACGACAUCAUAGCCAUUGUAACAUCAUAGCACAACCAAUCACCUUUUCUAUAUUUAGGAGCAAAGGCAAUACAAUGGAGAAGACAGUCUUUUAACAAAGGUGCUGGAAUAACUGGACAGCCAUGCACACACACAGAAAAGAAUCGAGACACAGACUUUACAUCUUCACAAAGGUACAACACUGAAGGCACCGCCCAUGAAAGAAACAACUGAUAGGCUGAACUCCAUUAAAAUUAAAAGCUUUUGCUCUGCAAAUACAAGAGAAUGAGAACACAAACCAUAAGGAGUUCAUAUGCUGGAAUGAUAGUGACACAGGAGUUUAACACUCCUACAGUAUCCAGAGCCUGGAUCCCUGAGUCAUCAGAUGGAGAAGAACUACUCAGGAGAGUCAUCCAACCUUCAUAGACAGUGGCAUGAGUGGGA